GUCUACGGCCAUACCACCCUGACACCCCGCCCGAUCACGACUGAUCUCAGAAGCUAAGCAGGGUCGGGCUUGGUUAGUACUUGGAUGGCAAACCGCCUGGAAAUACCGGGUGCUGUAGGCU
rnacentral:rRNA from 1 species